UUUAACCUCCUCUUUGGUCCAGACACAUCUUCCAAACUGCUUCAGAAGUGGCACAAAUUCUAUAAAGAAAUGGUGAUUGGAGAAGCAGAAGUCUUACUAACCCAACCCAGUCUGCCAGAAUUCAGUACAAUAAGGAAUCUUCUGCAGAUCACCAAGAGUGGGCCAGUGAUAUGGCAUCCUUCCUGCUGCUCCUCCAUAUUCUACCACCUCAACCUUCUAAAAAAAGAGAACAUCAGUGCAGCUUGUUCCAUGGACCAUCUAACGUGUUUCACAAGUCAUGUAGGAGCUUAGAAGAACAUUUGGACAGUCAAGAGGUACAACCCCAGCCAUUCCUCCUUGCCUCUGGAACUCUGAAGCAAGCCGUCAGCACCUACUACAUUGUGAUUGACAUGAUGCCCAUCCCAUGCCAGGGAGCCAUUGGCAGCCUUCGAUGAACGGAUCAAAGCGCACUUCAUUUUUGGUGUAAGCUAUGAUGAUGCUCUCAACAACAUGUACACAUUCCUGCACACAUCAGUCUAUGGUAUUGAUGUUGAUAGCACUAAAGAAAGUCUGAAGGUUAAGGAAUUGAGAGCCAAGCUUUUAAACAAUGUAUAAGUGCUACAUUAGCAGAUCGUUGCAUUGUGCACCUAGUUCGUUAAUUCAGCACCUUAAGUUUUUUCAUGGGUUAUAUCCUGGCAAACGAUUUAUGGUUAUUUGUGCCCAGGAAGGAUGUUCAUUGCAGUUUCAAAGUUAUAAAGGUUUUAGAAAGCAUUUAGAUAGUUGUCAUAAUAAUACUGUUGACAUGGGCACAAGAGGUGAAAUUGUGCAAACACCUUUCACCAACAAAGCUCACAAAAUGAUGAUG